UGGUUCUAGCAUCGAUGAAGAACGCAGCGAAAUGCGAUAAGUAAUGUGAAUUGCAGAAUUCAGUGAAUCAUCGAAUCUUUGAACGCAUAUUGCGCCCUGUGGCAUUCCGCAGGGCAUGCCUGUUCGAGCGUCAUUAUAACCAAUCAAGCUUUGCUUGGUGCUGGAGCACGCACUUGCGGCUCUCAAAGAUAGUGGCGGCUCUUGUAAGCUCUGAGCGUAGUAAUUCAUCUCGCUAAUGAGCCUUAUGGUGGCUAGCUAAGCUACCCACUUCUUUAGUUGACCUCGGAUCAGGUAGGGAUACCCGCUGA
rnacentral:misc_RNA from 1 species